ACACGAACCGCACGAACGUUAUUCGGAAUCACUGGGCUUAAAGGGUGCGUAGGCGGUCCGGUAAGUUGGGUGUGAAAGCCCUCGGCUCAACCGAGGAAUUGCGCCCAAAACUACCGGACUUGAGGAAGACAGAGGUGAGCGGAACUUGCGGUGGAGCGGUGAAAUGCGUUGAUAGCGCAAGGAACACCAGUGGCGAAAGCGGCUCACUGGGUCUUUUCUGACGCUGAGGCACGAAAGCUAGGGGAGCGAACGGGAGUAGAAACCCCAGUAGUCC
rnacentral:rRNA from 1 species